AUUGAACGCUGGCGGCAGGCCUAACACAUGCAAGUAGAACGAGUGGCGGACGGGUGAGUAAUGUCUGGGAAACUGCCUGAUGGAGGGGGAUAACUACUGGAAACGGUAGCUAAUACCGCCUACAAUCAGAUGUGCCCAUAUGGGAUUAGCUAGUUGGUGGGGUAACGGCUCACCAAGGUGACGAUCCCUAGCUGGUCUGAGAGGAUGACCAGCCCCACUGGAACUGAGCCACGGUCCAGACUCCUACGGGAGGCAGCAGUGGGGAAGAUUGCACAAUGGGCGCGAGCCUGAUGCAGCCAUGCCGCGUGUAUGAAGAAGGCCUUCGGGUUGUAAAGUACUUUCAGCGGGGAGGCGUUACCCGCAGAAGAAGCACCGGCUAACUCCGUGCCAGCAGCCGCGGUAAUUC
rnacentral:rRNA from 1 species